UACGAACUGUGCAAGCGUUAUUCGGAAUCACUGGGCUUAAAGGGUGCGUAGGCGGUUAUCUAAGUUGGGUGUGAAAGCCCCCGGCUCAACCGGGGAAUUGCGUUCUGAAUUGGAUGGCUGGAGUGGGAUAGGGGUGUGUGGAACUUCCGGUGGAGCGGUGAAAUGUGUUGAUAUCGGGAGGAACGCCGGUGGCGAAAGCGACACACUGGGUCUCAACUGACGCUGAGGCACGAAAGCCAGGGGAGCGAACGGG
rnacentral:rRNA from 1 species